CCUUCACUCUGGGAUAACCUCGGGAAAUCGGGGCUAAUACCGGAUAUGAGUGUCCACUGCAUGUAGGAUGCUGGAAAGUUUUUCGGUGAAGGAUGGACUCGCGGCCUAUCAGUUUGUUGGUGAGGUAAUGGCUCACCAAGACGAUGACGGGUAGCCGGCCUGAGAGGGCGACCGGCCACACUGGGACUGAGACACGGCCCAGACUCCUACGGGAGGCAGCAGUGGGGAAUAUUGCACAAUGGGCGAAAGCCUGAUGCAGCGACGCCGCGUGAGGGAUGACGGCCUUCGGGUUGUAAACCUCUUUCAGUAGGGAAGAAGCGAAAGUGACGGUACCUGCAGAAGAAGCGCCGGCUAACUACGUGCCAGCAGCCGCGGUAAUACGUAGGGCGCAAGCGUUGUCCGGAAUUAUUGGGCGUAAAGAGCUUGUAGGUGGCUUGUCGCGUCUGCCGUGAAAAUCCAGGGCUUAACUCUGGACGUGCGGUGGGUACGGGCAGGCUAGAGUGUGGUAGGGGAGACUGGAACUCCUGGUGUAGCGGUGAAAUGCGCAGAUAUCAGGAAGAACACCGAUGGCGAAGGCAGGUCUCUGGGCCAUUACUGACACUGAGAAGCGAAAGCAUGGGGAGCGAACAGGAUUAGAUACCCUGGUAGUCCAUGCCGUAAACGUUGGGCACUAGGUGUGGGCGACAUUCCACGUUGUCUGCGCCGUAGCUAACGCAUUAAGUGCCCCGCCUGGGGAGUACGGCCGCAAGGCUAAAACUCAAAGGAAUUGACGGGGGCCCGCACAAGCGGCGGAGCAUGCGGAUUAAUUCGAUGCAACGCGAAGAACCUUACCAAGGCUUGACAUGCACCGGACAGCUGCAGAGAUGUGGCUUUCUUUGGACUGGUGCACAGGUGGUGCAUGGUUGUCGUCAGCUCGUGUCGUGAGAUGUUGGGUUAAGUCCCGCAACGAGCGCAACCCUCGUUCUAUGUUGCCAGCGCGUUAUGGCGGGGACUCAUAGGAGACUGCCGGGGUCAACUCGGAGGAAGGUGGGGACGACGUCAAAUCAUCAUGCCCCUUAUGUCUUGGGCUUCACGCAUGCUACAAUGGCCGGUACAAAGGGUUGCGAAACUGUGAGGUGGAGCGAAUCCCAAAAAGCCGGUCUCAGUUCGGAUUGGGGUCUGCAACUCGACCCCAUGAAGUCGGAGUCGC
rnacentral:rRNA from 1 species